UACGAAGGUGGCGAAUGUUGCUCGGAUUCACUGGCCGUAAAGCGUCGGUAGGAGGCUUGUUAAGUUAGGUGUGAAAGCCCCGCGCUCAACGUGGGAAUUGCACUUAAAACUAACUGGCUUGAAGGUAUGAGAGGAAGGCGGAAUAACUGGUGUAGAGGUAAAAUUCAUAGAUAUCAGUUGGAACACCCAUGGCGAAGGCAGCUUUCUGGCAUAUUCUUGACUCUGAGCGACGACAGCGUGGGGAGCAAACAGG
rnacentral:rRNA from 1 species